GACGAACGCUGGCGGCGUGCCUAAUACAUGCAAGUAGGACGCAGUUGCGAACGUGUGAGUAACGCGUAGGUAACUACCUAUUAGAGGGGGAUAACUAUUUGAAACGAUAGCUAAUACCGCAUACUAGUAGAUGGACCUGCGUUGUAUUAGCUAGUAGGUAGGGUAAUGGCCUAACUAGGCAACGAUACAUAGCCGACGGGGGAGGGAGAGCGGCCACAAUGGGAACGGGACACGGCCCAGACACCUACGGGAGGAAGCAGUAGGGAAUCUUCGGCAAUGGGGGGAAACAUGACCGAGCAACGGCGCGUGAGUGAAGAAGGUUUUCGGAUCGUAAAGCUCUGUUGUUAAGGAAGCGGUAAUUAACGAGAAAGGGACGGCUAAAUACGUGCCAGCAGCCGCGGUAAUUC
rnacentral:rRNA from 1 species